ACUGCCUGAUGGAGGGGGAUAACUACUGGAAACGGUAGCUAAUACCGCAUAACGUCGCAAGACCAAAGAGGGGGACCUUCGGGCCUCUUGCCAUCGGAUGUGCCCAGAUGGGAUUAGCUAGUAGGUGGGGUAACGGCUCACCUAGGCGACGAUCCCUAGCUGGUCUGAGAGGAUGACCAGCCACACUGGAACUGAGACACGGUCCAGACUCCUACGGGAGGCAGCAGUGGGGAAUAUUGCACAAUGGGCGCAAGCCUGAUGCGGCCAUGCCGCGUGUAUGAAGAGGGCCUUCGGGUUGUAAAGUACUUUCAGCGGGGAGGAAGGGAGUAAAGUUAAUACCUUUGCUCAUUGACGUUACCCGCAGAAGAAGCACCGGCUAACUCCGUGCCAGCAGCCGCGGUAAUACGGAGGGUGCAAGCGUUAAUCGGAAUUACUGGGCGUAAAGCGCACGCAGGCGGUUUGUUAAGUCAGAUGUGAAAUCCCCGGGCUCAACCUGGGAACUGCAUCUGAUACUGGCAAGCUUGAGUCUCGUAGAGGGGGGUAGAAUUCCAGGUGUAGCGGUGAAAUGCGUAGAGA
rnacentral:rRNA from 1 species